GAUGAACGCUGGCGGCGUGCCUAACACAUGCAAGUCGAACGGAAUUUACAUGAAGCCUAGCGAUUGUAAAUUUAGUGGCGGACGGGUGAGUAACGCGUGGGUAACCUGCCUUGUACCGGGGGACAACAGUUGGAAACGACUGCUAAUACCGCAUAAGCGCACAGCUUCGCAUGAAGCAGUGUGAAAAACUCUGGUGGUACAAGAUGGACCCGCGUCUGAUUAGCUGGUUGGUGAGGUAACGGCCCACCAAGGCGACGAUCAGUAGCCGGCCUGAGAGGGUGAACGGCCACAUUGGGACUGAGACACGGCCCAGACUCCUACGGGAGGCAGCAGUGGGGAAUAUUGCACAAUGGGGGAAACCCUGAUGCAGCGACGCCGCGUGGAGGAAGAAGGUCUUCGGGAUUGUAAACUCCUGUUGUUGAGGAAGAUAAUGACGGUACUCAACAAGGAAGUGACGGCUAACUACGUGCCAGCAGCCG
rnacentral:rRNA from 1 species